rnacentral:rRNA from 1 species
UUCAUCUAUCACCACCAACCCAUCAUCAAUAUUGAAUAAAUUCAUAAAUUAUGAAAGUUACCAUGCUAGAACUAGUAACAAGAAUAGAACUUCUCCAAAGUGUAAACAUGAAACAAAACGGACAACCCAUUGUUAAUUAACGAAUCUGAGCCAGCUAUAGUAAAUUUCUAGAAAACCCUAUAUAUAUCAUCGUCAACCUUAACCCAAAAGCCCUCCUGGAAAGAUUAAAAGGAAGAGAAGGAACUCGGCAAAUUUUAACCCCGCCUGUUUACCAAAAACAUCGCCUCUUGCUUAAACAUAAGAGGUCUAGCCUGCCCAGUGUUUCAAUCAACGGCCGCGUGAUUUAAGCGCGCAAAGGUAGCGUAAUAAUUCGUUCUUUAAAUGAGGACUUGUAUCAAUGGCAUCACGAGGGUUAUACUGUCUCCUCUCCCCAAUCAGUGAAACUAAUCUCCCUGUGAAAAAGCAGGGAUAAACCUAUAAGACGAGAAGACCCCAUGGAGCUUAAAACACGGCAACAACCCUAAUAGUAUUAUCAAUGUAAUUUUAAGCCCUGUAUGCCUGUUUUAGGUUGGGGUGACCGCGGAGCAAAACAAAGCCUCCACAACGAAAGGGAUUACCCCCUUAUCCCAGAUGUACUCCUCCAGAAUUAUUAAAAUAACGUCUAAUGAUCCGACUAUCGACCAACGGACCAAGUUACCCUGGGGAUAACAGCGCAAUCCACUUUGAGAGCCCCUAUCGACAAGUGGGCUUACGAACCUCGAUGUUGGAUCAGAUAUCCCAGUGGUGCAGCCGCUACUAA